rnacentral:misc_RNA from 1 species
GAAAUGCGAUAAGUAAUGUGAAUUGCAGAAUUCCGUGAAUCAUCGAAUCUUUGAACGCACAUUGCGCCCUCUGGUAUUCCGGGGGGCAUGCCUGUCCGAGCGUCAUUGCGAACCCCUCAAGCACGGCUUGUGUGAUGGGCCCUCCCGCGUCUUGGUCGUCAAGACGGGCCCGAAAUGCAGUGGCGGCUUCGCGGUUGUCCGAUCAGCCAGAGCGUAUGGGGACUUUCUCUCUGUCACACGCCCGCGGCGCGGACCGACGCCUGUCGACCUUUAUUCAUCUUUUUCUCGGUUGACCUCGGAUCAGGUAGGGAUACCCGCUGAACUUAAGC